GAUGAACGCUAGCGGCAGGCCUAACACAUGCAAGUCGAGGGAGAGGUUACCUUCGGGUAACCAAAACCGGCGCACGGGUGCGUAACGCGUAUACAAUCUGCCUUUCACAUAGGGAUAGCCCGAAGAAAUUUGGAUUAAUACCUAAUGGUAUAUAAGAGCGGCAUCGUUUUGAUAUUAAAGAUACGGUGGUGAUAGAUGAGUAUGCGUUCUAUUAGCUAGUUGGAGAGGUAACGGCUCCCCAAGGCGACGAUAGAUAGGGGUUCUGAGAGGGAUGUCCCCCACACUGGUACUGAGAUACGGACCAGACUCCUACGGGAGGCAGCAGUGAGGAAUAUUGGACAAUGGUCGGAAGACUGAUCCAGCCAUGCCGCGUGCAGGAUGAAGGUCCUAUGGAUUGUAAACUGCUUUUGUAAGGGAAGAAUAAGGAGUACGUGUACUUUGAUGACGGUACCUUACGAAUAAGCAUCGGCUAACUCCGUGCCAGCAGCCGCGGUAAUACGGAGGAUGCGAGCGUUAUUCGGAAUCAUUGGGUUUAAAGGGUCCGUAGGCGGGCUGAUAAGUCAGAGGUGAAAGCGCUUAGCUCAACUAAGCAACUGCCUUUGAAACUGUCAGUCUUGAAUGAUUGUGAAGUAGUUGGAAUGUGUAGUGUAGCGGUGAAAUGCUUAGAUAUUACACAGAACACCGAUAGCGAAGGCAUAUUACUAACAAUUUAUUGACGCUGAUGGACGAAAGCGUGGGGAGCGAACAGG
rnacentral:rRNA from 1 species